rnacentral:lncRNA from 1 species
CACGAACCACCAACAACUAAAUUAAUUUUUAUGAUUUUUAAUUUGGUCGCAGCUAGAUUAAUUUGACCGUAGCAUGUAUUUAUAAUACAUGUCUCCUAAAUAGAGUUUAAUUCUAAUUCAAUUAGAAAUUAGAUUCCGACUCAUAAUCCAUAUAUGUCAAAUUAAAUCUAAAUUAUAUCCAAUCCCAAAUAGAUUAGGAUUUAUCCUCAAUUUAGAUAACUACAAAUCUAAAUCGAUAACUAUAAAUCUAAACCAAAUAUAACAGUUUCUCUCUCUACUCUCUCUCUAUCUAUCUAUGCCUUCUCUCAUUCCUUCUCUUUCAAGUUUCUCUCUCUAGUCUCUCUCUCUACCUAUGCCUUUCUCUCUUUUCUUUCAUUGGGUGGCUUGGGCGGCAACAGCAGCGGUCACGGCCGCGGCGAUAACUUGGACGACGUCAGCAGCGGUAACCGCGACAACGUGAGCGGCAUUGACGGCAGCGAUGGCGACUUGGGCAGCGUUAGCGGCGGACACGACGACGGCAACAUCAUACAAAAAAAAAAAAAAAUCGCAAUUUUUUUUUUUUNUCUUCUUCUUUUUUUUCUUUACUUCUUGCCUGACAACAUCGAAUGGCAGCUUAGGCGGUGCCAGCGGCGGCUUGGGCGGCGUCGGCAGUACGCACGACAGUGGGAAGCAGCGUCAGCGGUCAUGGUGGCAGUGGCGGCCGCGGGGACAAUGGCGGUCGCUACAACAACAUCAGCAGCGGUCACGACGGCAACAGCCACCGUUUUCCUUUUCUUUUUUUUUUUCUUUUUUUUUGUUUCUCUUCCACUUAUUCUCUGUAACUCGCUCUUCUUCUUUUUCUUCUUUUUUUUUUUAUCUCUUCUUCCUCCUCUUCCUUCUUCUUCUUCUUCCUCUUCUUCUAUUUGAAAGAUAAUUGAAAAUUUAAUGUCACUAUAAUUUUUUUUCCCUAAAAAAACUAUUUUAUAUGAUUUUAUGUCGAAUCAAACACCUCCUUAAAUAUAUUUUUUUAAAAAUUAAUUAUUUUUUCGCAUAUUUUUUUAUUUUUAUUUAAUUAUUUUUUUUAAAUAUUAUAUUUAUAUUAUCUAUCCACAGCGAAGCGCGGAUCCUACACUAGUUAUAUUUUAUAACACAUCACUAUUACUCAGGAGGAGGAUCAAACAAACUCUCAUGUUAUUUUAUUCAUUACCGGUUAUUACAGGAUCGGAUGUGCUGCUCUAAUCACUCCAAACAUGUUCGUCGACUUAAUUUAGUAAUGCACACAACACUCCCAACUUAAACAAAAUUAUACCAUACAAAACAAAAUUUCAAAUUUGAAGAGGGAGACCGACCGUCCCUACGGCAAGUGGCAAAAUAUUUGGUGGUUGAUAUCCAAGGUCCCAAGUUCGAGUACUAAUUGAUUUACAUUUUCAGCUAAAUUUAUUUUUAAAUAAAAUAAACGAAGCGGGUAGCGUGCUAUCUAUCUCUCCAAAAAAAAAAAAAAUUGAAGAAGGAGAGAUUUAAGUAACCGUAUACAACAAGAAGGGAGGAUUCUAAUCGACUCUAACACUUUACUGUGGAGAUAUAUAAUCAAUAACCAUCUCAUUUUCUUUACGGAAAAAGGCUCAUUCAAUACUUGCCGAUCACUGCAUCUGCAUUCAUGGGACAUACAAAAAGCCCAAACCACAAAGCAAAAGAGUAGGCCGCUCUGAUCCAGUCAGUUUCAGCAACAAUCAUAGAUGGUCCCUCAUCUACUGACUUUUAUCUUACACGUCCACUCUGUAACUGACCUCAUUUUAAUUCAGCAAUGUCUGGGUCAACCUUUUCCGUUGACCAACCCUUAAAAAAAAAAAUUCAAAUACCACCCCUAUUAUUUUGCUUUUUUUUUUUUAUUUUAGUACUAUACGGUUUAAAGUGUAUCAAUUUGAUACUCCGUGAUUACAUUUUUUUUUUCUUUUUUUUAUUACCUUCACUAAUUUAUUUUAAUUAAAUUAGUGACAAAAUUAAAACUAAAAUAUAUUAAAGUAAAUAUUCGAUAAAUUUUGGUGGGUAUUCGAAGUUUUUUAUAUAUAAUUUAACGACCCACUUGAAAUUUUUUAUAUAUAAUUUAACGAAAUGUUAACGGAGGAACUUACGAAAAGAAAAAAAUAAAAUUAUAUAAUAUUAAAUUAAUACAGUUUAAAUUAUUAUAGAAUAUUAAAGUAAAAAAGUGCCGAUCUAUAUAAAUGAUAAGUUUACCAAAAAAAAAAAAAAAAAAAAAAAAGGGUUUGCAAUUUGAACGGAGUGAGGCGCUGUUAGUUACAACUGUAACAGCUAUCGCCUGCGAAAAUAGGCGCCAAGAAAGAGCCACGCGCGAAAAGCGGCCGCACUAUAAAUAAGCCCACUCUCUGAGCUCUUCGAGUAGCUUCUCCUCUCUCUCUCUCUCUCUCUCUUUCUCUCUCUCUCUCUCUCUCUCUCUCUCUCCCCACUAGAUUCUCUCCCUCUCUCCCCGCACCUCUUCCAUGGCGACAAGUAACCUAGGGUGCGUGGUGGUGGCCGUCGACAGCAGAGAGGAGAGCAUGAAGGCCCUCCGCUGGGCCCUCGACAACCUCCGCCUCGGCCCAGCCGCCGCCGGAGCCGCCGCCGCCGAUCCCGGGUUCCUGAUCAUCCUCCACGUCCAACACCCUCUGUCCAUCGCCACGAGCCUCAACCCGGGCUCCAUCCCCUCCGGCGGUCCAAGUAACCCUCCCAAACCCUAGCUCCUUCCCCCCCUCCUCUGAAUCGGAAUCGGAUUAUGUUCCUUUCCUUGUGCUUGGCCUCACCCUUCGUCGAGUACUCUUGAUCCGACUCUUGCUAUGGUGUUGGUGCUUGUUGUGGUGCGGUGUGGCUUUAAGGCGAUGUCGAGGCGCAUCAGCAGCGGACCACGGACGCGAUCUUUAAGCGUGCCCUGGAUAUGUGCGCCGAUAGAAACGUGAGAUCGGAUUCUGUUGAUCAUUAUGUGUUUAGAUUCGUUAGCAUUUGUAUUGUGAUUGAACCUUUCUCUUUUGCGGUAAAUUUUAGGUGACUGUGAGAACCGAAGUGAUGAUCGGCGAUCCGAAGGUCAUGAUCUGCAAGGCCACUGUAACCUUGUACGCCGACUUACUGGUGAUCGGGCGUCAUUCGAUCAGACCGAUCAGUUGGUGAUUUGAUUGAUUUCUUUCCCCCUUUCUGUUGUUUAAAACUUGGUCGUGGAAUCGAUUUCUUUCAUCAUUAAUAAAUUUUCAGCCAUUUUAAAGUUGUUAUUCACUUUGAUUUUUAAUCACGAACUUAUGACUUUAACUUCAAUGUAGUACUGAUGAUCUCUAUGUAGGAAUCUCGAUUUUCAGAAAAAUAUAGGAAUCUCCGGUUUAUGAAUAAUAUACAGUUGAAUUGUUUGCUACAUAGCUUGAUGAAGAUUGGCUGCAGCUUUGGGUUUGAUCUGAACGUUUGAAGAGAAUUGUAAUUGUUUACAGUGCCAUGAUGUUCGAUAGAUUCUGUUUCUGUGUUUAAGGUUCAACUUGAGUGUGCAGAAAUUGUGUCAAGAAUCUCUAUCAUGCUAUUAAAAAUGUAACGAAUUCUAGGAAUAUGUGGUGUAAGUUACCUCUAAGCUCAAUUUUUACUAUUUAUCAUUCAUCUUUCUCUGUAAAUCAAAGUUUAUAUUACCUUUUUCCAUCUAUCUACAUGUUAAAUUUCACAUGUCAUGAUCUUCACUAUCAGCCAUCGCACCCAAUGGAUGGCCAAAAUGUUUAUAUAAAUAGCAUGCUUCAAGGACUUAUUUACUAAAAUGUAUAAUUUAACCUGCUAACAACAAUUCAAGCAAAAGUUUGAACCGGCAUUAUCUUGCAGUUAUGUCUCUGUUAUGUGUGUUGAAGUAUGUCAAGUUGUACUGCUCGUCUUUUCUGAAUGAUGCAGAUCACCUUUCUUCUAGCUUCAAAAUGACCGGAAAAUAUUCCAGCCCUUUGGUGAGGGAAUAUCGUAAGAGGUGAUCUUAAUGGUUCAUAGAGACGGACCGCAUAUGUUUUACUACAUUAUGUGCACCAAGAUUAAGUAAUUUUAAGUUUAGCAAGAUUUGGAUUUUAAGGCCUAUAAUACUUGUUGGUCAUCGGUAACAGGUUUCUUUGGCGUCUUUGCUACAUCAGACCGUAAUUAAGAAUUACCAUCAGAUGAGGAUGUGCUUCACAUAUGGAUCUUCUUUCCAAAUGCAAAUUUAAUUUUUUUCUUUUGCCAUCGUGUUAGAGCUGCCCUACCUUUAAUUUUUUUGCCCUCGAUUGAACUUCAAUUUGAUUGCAGCUCAAAUACAGCUUAGAAAAGAACAAUCCUUUUAAGUGAUACAUUUUUUGCACAUUAGUUGGACCAAACCAAAUGGCGAGGACAAACAAUACAACAUGCUGUAGGCGUUCAUUAAAUCUAGUAGCUAUUUAUAUACUGUUUGUAACUACUUUCCUUUGUAGAGAAUUAAUGAUAUUGUAGUCUACUUGGAGAGCCAGGAAUUUGAUAGUGAGUUAUGUCAAGGAGAGAUUUGUAGUAUGAAAUAAUCCUUCAAUAGAAUUCAUUGUGAAUUGGUGUUAGUUCCAGCAGUAGCAUUUAUGAAAGUGAGAAAAUGUUGUCGGGACUUCAAAAUAAGAGUUUAUCUAGGCUUUAUAGUUGCUCCUAGAAUACUGGUGCUUUUGAUUAUGCUUGUCAGAUGUGACUCGAAAUCUACUAUCGUUUCAGAUUCGGGUUUACGAUUCGCCGACAGCUUCGCGGUGCGACCAACUUGGAAAAGAAAAUUAUGGAGGAAAAAUGAAUAUAUGUGGUGGGUAGCGGAGGGCUCGGGCCAUCAGGCUCGAGCUCGUAGCCCACCACUGACAUUCGCCAGGGGGUGCGGGGGCCGUAAUCAAAAGAACAUUGUAUNCCCGCUGUACGGAUCGGAUCCGAAAUCCGUUAUGAGUUUUCCUUUUUCGUUUUUUGCCCUAGAGGCGUGUGAUCAUGGUCGGUUGUAAUCUGAAGAACAUUGUAUUCCCUUUUCGUUCCAUAGUAAAGUCCUCUCCUCCAUCGCCCGUGGUUUUUUCCUGCAAAGAGUUUUUCACGUAAAUCUGUCUCUUUAUUUUCUGCUUGUGGUUCGAUUGUUUUUUGUAUUCGUCAUUUCGUUUCCGUUUAUGCGUUUGUCGUAACAAUGCUUCUGUAGACUCAAACCAUAAGUUUGGCAACGGACGAAAAAGAGGUCAAAACUCAAGGGGAGUUGGUAGAGGAUGUACGAGGCUCGUUUGAUUUCUAGGAGAAAAAAGUAUCUAGCAAAAUUACAUAAUUUCCAUGAUGCAUCCAACUGUUGCUUAUUUGGGUUACCAUCAUGACAAUUCAAGUUGUGUACCUAGUAUGUGAUCUUGCAAUUAAUGUUGUUCUAUAAGCGAACUGUGAUCGGUUGUUGCUUGAAUAGUCUUUUGGAGGUAUGUUUACCUCCUUGUGUUAUGUUAUACCUAUUUUCAUAUGCUUCUAUUAAGACUCUUUAAUUUAGUGAUGAAUAUGCCAUCUAUAAUGAAUGCCCUAAAUACUUUUCAAAUUGCUGUUUCGUUGCAGGAUGUUCUUAGGAAGUGUAAGCAAGUACUGCGUCAACCAUGUGAGCUGCCCUGUUCUCGUGAUAAAGGGAAUAUGACCUUAUUCUCUACCGUGUUUGCUGUUGUUGCUCUAGCUUUUGAACUAAGAGUGCAUCUACCAUUGACUGCCAUUGAAAUUUUUGCAUAGUCUGUGAUUUUCUCUGCCGUUACCUUCUUUUCCUAUAUGGAAAUUGCUAUAGCUACUAGAUUUGAGUUGCACUGCGAAGUUGUAGAGGUUUUGAAGGGAGUUGGGACCAAGAACUAUUUCCUUCUUCGAGAAAUUUCUGUGUAGCAUGUCGUCCAUUGGUGUAACAACAGCGGUUCUUGUACUUGUCAAUAAAUAGGGUAUAUACAUAUGAUUUGCCGUAUUUGUCACGAUAAGAUUUUAGAAUCUGGUUUCGUAUGUUUGCAUGAAUUUCGAGUAUUUCGUGAUAUUUGAUAGUGCGCGCAAAGAUUCGAGCAGUUUCAUUGCUUUACAGCAUCAAGUUUCUACUUGAUUGCUUUACCAAAUAUGCUGUUUUAUAAGAAUUGAUGAUUGAAUAGAAACUCGGAUAUGUUAUUUUAAGGGUCUGGAGUUGAUUAUUCGCAACAGUGGCCAUCAGCAGUGGCUAUGCAUAUCCUAGCCAGGGUUCUUUCUUCUAGAAUUAUUUCUCAAUUUGUCACCUAAAUUGAACUCAGCUGAUUUACUUUUACAUCUCAAUUUGAUCAGCCUAGUUUGGAAAUAACUCAGAUCCUAGGCAUACAUCGGAAGAAAACAGAAGAAAUUGUAGAGUACGCAGAGAUUGAGAAUUGCUUUGUGGAAAGCAAAUGUGUCGUGGGGUUUAUGUAGAACGUUUGGAGCGUAACUAACAAAAGAGAAAUCCGGAGUAAAAACAUGUGCCGGUUACCGUAACCGAGCUCAAAGAAUCCGUUCCGUUUGAUAGUUACGUCACAUCGUAGGCAUAUGUGUCCGGUUGCUCGAUCUCUCAUUAGAAGCCGUUGAUUGUGCGGCAUCACAAGACCUUUAAUUAAGGUGACCAUGAUAUUUAACCACAAUAUUAUUUUUAAGUAGCCGUUGAUUGUGCGGCAUCACUAGACCUUUAAUUAAGGUUACCAUGAUAUUUAACUACAAUAUUAUUUAAUUAGGGACACUGUUUUAAUUACAUUUUAUCACACAGCACUAAUACUCAGAAGUAGGAUCAAACAAAUUCUCAUAUUAUUUUAGCCAUCAACAGUUAUUACAGGAUCGGGUAUGCUGGUCUAAUCACUCCAAAGGUGAUCGUUUAGGUUUAAUAAUGCACACAACUCUCCCAAUUUAAACAAAAUUGUACCAUACAAAACAAACUUUCAAAUUUGAAGAGAGAGAAAGAGAGAGAGAGAGAGAGAGAGAGAGAGAGAUUUAUUAAGUAACCGUAUACAACAAGAACAGAGGAUUCCAAUCGACUACAACACUUUCCUACAGAGAUAUAUAAACCCCUGGAGCUCAAUAGCCAUCUAUUUUCCUUUACAGAAAAGGCUCAUUCAAUACUUACCGAUCACUGCAUCUACAUUCAUGAGACACAAUCCUCUUUACUAUCACACAAAAAGCCCAAACCACAAAGCAAAAGAAUCGGCCACUCUGAUCCACUCAGUUUCAGCAACAACCAUAGAUGGUCCCUGAUCACCUUGUUUUAUCUAAAAAUGCAUCUGAAUCUCAGUAAUGAUAAUGAUCACUAAGAUCAUCAGAUCAAGAGAUAGAGUUCCUCCACCUCCUCGGCCCCUUCCUCGCUUGCCCGCCCCCGGGCCCGGCUCCUGCUGGCCGGUCCGGGCCGCCGCCGACGCCCCCCAUCUCCUGCCCCUCGUGGUUCGCCAUCUUCGUCAGCUUGCUCAGCUUCUUCCACCCGCUGCUCCACGCGGAUGCCGCCGACGGCUUCCCGGGCUUCGUCGCCAGCGUCAUUUUCUCGAACUGCCGCUGCAGCACGUCCAUAUCGUUCUGCAGCUCCAGAUACUUGGCCUUCAUGCUCUCGAGCUCGAACUUGAGCGUGUUGAUGUCCUUCUUCGCGGCGGCCCACCCUUCCUGGAAGGACUGCGGGGUGCCCUCCAGCAGCUGCUUCCUGGACGAGACCAUGGGCUGGUAGUGCGGCAGGUCGCCCGCGUCCUUCACGGAGGAGUUCGCCAUCGCGUUGCUGAUCUUGACCUGCUCGGAGAAGAGGAUCUGCACCACCAGCCGCAGCGGCAGCCGCUCGUUCUGCGCCGCGUGCAUGCACGCGUCGAUCGACAGCUUCUGGCAGUCCAUCACCCGGCACAGCCGCUUCCUCUCGUGCUCCGUUAGCGUCGGAUGCGCCUUCAAAAUAGUGAUCAAAAGUUAUACUAACAAACUUGAAAAGCAUCUUGGAGUACUAUUGUAUCUGAGAUUCCAGUUUCAUGUUCCAAACUUCAAAAAUUUGAAAACUUGGUUUACUCUAUUGGUCACGUCAGGAUCAUCGGCAUCAAAAUAUGUUUGUGUUAAAUUUUGAAGUUUUGGGGAGCAAAAUUGACAUGACAUUAAUGCCAAACCUGGGAGAAUAAACUGCUGUAAUUAAAUCUCUGAAGAUUCCUCACUAAAGCCUAUUCAUACUUUACCACAUAUAGUUCAUAAAGUGUUACACUUUGAACCACACGAGAUCGAAUAAGCUUCAGAUUGUAUAUAUAUAUAUAUAUAUACCUUGAGGUAUGAGUCUACUGCUCGGUAAAGCCCGUCGUCGCACGUGCGCGCCGACUCCGGCAGCGCCUCGGCGAGCACCUGGAACUUGGUCAGCGACAGGUUGCGGUCCCUCGCCACCUCAGUGAGGUAACUAUCCAGCAGCCUCGCCACCCGCAUCUUCGCAUUCGGGCCCGACCCCCCGCCGCCGCCGCUGCCGCCGCCUCCGCCGUGCUUCUCGCCGACUCCGUAAGGCGGCGGCGCGUCCCUCCCGGGGCUCGACGCCUCCGUCUGCUCCUGCACCAAGAAAUGCUCCAGCAGGCGCUGCACCAGAUCGACAUCGUACAGCGUGUCACUCCGGUUGUAGGAAGGGAUCAGCAGGUCGACCAGACUGGCCUGCUCCAGCUGCAUCCCCACUCUCUUCUCCAACUCCGUCACCAGCGCCGGCGCCACCUUCAGCAUGUUCGCCAGCCGCAGCAGCCGCAGGAGGAAGCUGCAGGUCACGCAGUCCUUCUGCGGCGGAAUUAUGCUUAUCAGGCUCUCGAUCACCAUCCGCUGCUCCCGAAUUUGCGACCCCGUCAGCUCUUCCUUGCUCCCCGCCCCCGCCCCCGCCCCCGCCCCCGUGAUCAUCAGGUGCAGCCCCGCCCGUCUGGCCCCACCCCUCAUCCCGCCGCGCCGCGCCGUCGGGCUCUCUUUCGUCAAGCCCGGCAGCCAUUCGCCGCGUACUGCGUGAUCGCCGCCCACCAGGUCGAACCGCAUGCCCUUCACCUUUAUGGCCGUGACGACGCGCACGAAGUGGUCGAUGCGGAGGAUCGACACGUCCUCGAACCACCAGUCGGCCGGCACGGGCUGGCUCCGGCUCGGGCUCGACUCCUUCGAGUCGGCAUUCCACUUCGGACUCGACGCCGCCGCCGCCGCCGCCGCUGAUGACGAAUGACGACUUAUUCGGGCGGCCGGUGUAGGCCCACCGGAUGCCGCGGGGAUUGGCGCAGGCCUUCCAUGCGAUGGACUCGCUGCAGCGCCGGACGAUCUGCAGGUUCUCGGCCCACGGCGACAGCCCCUCGCAGCUCUUGAGCACGAUGAUCGAGUCCCGCCACGACGACAGCACGACGUAGCUGAGGAAGGCCUCGGUCUUGAAGAUCAGAUUGCCCUCCUCCAAGUCCUCCGUCAUCUCCAGGUACUCCGCCGCGCACCGCAGCCCCGAGAUGUUCCCCGCCGUCAGGUCCACCGCGAUGCCGUAGCAGAACUUGGCCGCCAGCUCGAACGACUCCGGCCCCCCCGGCAGGUCGUCCAGCUCCACCACCGUCGGCUCCACCUCGCGCGACGUCGACGACUCGUAGAUUAUCCGGUUCAUGCGCCCGCUCCGCGACAGCAGAGGGUACUUCCAAUUCACAACAACCAAAUAAAUCCUCAGAACCAUAUAGAGAAAUUAAUUUGCAUGAAGUCAUACAAAACCUACCUUGUGUAGGUGGAAGCUGACGCCUCCGAUCUUAACAAGCAAAUCACUGGGUAUAUCGCUUGAGACAUACCUAAUAAACACAUGUAAUUAACACAGCACACCAUUGUUAUACACUAUCUAGUUAAGUAGAGUUAAAAGUGGCAAAACGAAGAAAUCAAACAGGAGUACUACUGUAGAGUGAUGGAUAUAUAUAUAUAUACCAAGAUUGAUCUCUCCGUUCGAAGCCGUCGGUUUUGAGACCGUCGUGAUGGUUGGAGUCGAGGGAGCUCAUACCGCGGUCUCCUCUUCCAUGGGACUCACUCUCCGAUUCCCACAUGGUGAUCGAGAACUUGAAGUAUAAGAAGUGAAAAGGAACCACAACACUAUAUAUAUAUGUUCUCACUAACAGUGAAGCAAAAGAAAAAAAACAAAAGUGUCCUUCUAGUAAUCCUUAUUAUUGGGUUUAUAGAUAAGUGGAUUUGAAAAGCCAAGAGAUCUAGAGAGAGAGAGAGAGAUUGAGAGAUUGAAGAAACUAAAGAGGAGGAAGAAGCAAAUUGUGAGGGAUAUGAGAAAAGGCUAGUUGGGGAAGUGUGUAGUGGACAUGUUGGAGAUGAAUAGGAGAAAGAGAUAAGAAUGGUGUUUUUAUCUCUUGGCCCCAGUGGAGGAGGUGGGAGGGGGAAGGAGAGUGGGGGGUGGUGAUAACUCGGGGGGAGAAUAUCACAUGGGAUGUUGGACUUAGCUACACUUGUCAAGGAUCCCCUCCUGGUUGUUCGAAAUUGUUGCCUACACCUAAUACAUCUAUACAUUCGUGCACCACAUAAUUAGCCAUCUCCCCGACCCGUCGCUUUCGUCCGGAAAAUAUAAUAAUUAUCAGAUGGGGAGUAUGAUCAAAUGUCUGUAGCAUUAUAGCAUAUUAAUUAUUCUACCUUUCGAAAGUCUCUUUUUUUAAAUAAUUAAGAUAAGUCGUCCUAUAAAUAAGAAUUGUAUAUCCUAAUAAAUUAUGACUAUUUCUUUUUUAUUUUUUGUGCUUAUUAAGAUCUUGUUUGAUUGGAUGCAUAUGAUAACACAAUAUGCAGUCCCAUAGUUAAGAUAAAUUAUUUUGAAAAGUCAUAACUAUCAUAUGUCGGUAAUGACCUAUAUAUAUAUAUUUGUUACAAGAAGAUAACUAAUUGGGACAUCAAAUCAUGCUCCUGAUCUUGCAAUCUUAAUUAGUUCUAAAUAGAUUUAAAAUGUCUUUUAUCAAGUGAUCUACAUGGAGUAUAAAAUGUAUUAUGUCAUGAGAUGAGGAGAAGCAGUGUAGGGUGAUAGGUGGGAGGGUGCAUGGAUUUACAGAUGCACCCUGUGCAUGCAAUAUUUUUUGCUGCAUCUGGGAGCAUGGGCUUCUCUUAAACCCCUUCCCCAUCCCCAUAUUUCCUUGCCAUUUUUGCACCUGUUUGAGGGCAUUUGUGUGGCCUUGGCUUUCCCCACUUCCUGUCCAUGUGGUGAAAGCUGUGGCCUUUCUGUAGCAUUCCUGUUUGCUUUCUGGGCUGAUCCCACUAGUUCCAAUCAUAUUUUGUCCUACAUUUAUCAGAUGAUUAUGUACCAUGCAGAAAAUAUUAGUUGAUCACAUAUCAUGAACAAUAUAUUAAAGUAGCUUUAUCUUUUCCCUUGCUUAUAUCUGAAUAUGUUAUUGCAAUUUUGCCUUUGUUUAUAUAUGUUGCCAAACCAUGGAGUUCUCACUGAUGGGGGGGGAAAGGGAGGGAUUGGGCGAGAGCGCGAGUUCGAGUUCCAGUUACGGGUGAAGAGGUUCAAAUUGUUCUGAUUCUCCACGAAAAUAGAGGGAUCUUAGUUUGGUAUUGUCGUCAUAUUCUGUAUUUAUAUGUUUAAAUUUCGUAUAAUUACAUGCUAUAAUAAAUGAACUCUUUUUAUUUUUGUCAUUGUUAGUUAGAAUGUCCUGCCUAUAGUCACCAUGUAAGCCAAUCCUUUGCCCAAUAAUGAAGUGUGAAGGAAGAGAGAUGCGAGUGAAAUCUCUUGCCAAAUUGAAAAUUUUGUUUUACCAAAAUAAAAAGUUGUGAUGAAAAAUAGCCGAAAUAGUGAGGCAAGAUCAUGCGCAAUUUAGUAUAUACGAAGUACAAAGAAGAAAAAGGUAGAGAGUGAAAACAUCAUCAAUUAAUGACAACUUUUUGUCAUCCUAGUAAAGGAAGAGAAAAAAAGAAAAAGAAAAAAAGAAAAAGAAAAAGAGAGGUCACUCUGUCUGGGUAGUACAGUUAUGCAAGCAGUACUGGAUAAGAUCAUAAGAGAAGGAAAGUUGGGCCAUUUCACAUUCUGUUAUUAGUGGUUAAGGUAAGAAAAAGCUGCAGUUCCACUGCCCAUGAUUGGGGAGGGUUUUUAGUUUUACAUCACCUUGUCCUCUAUGUAGAAUAUGUAUUAAAAAAAGAGAAAUGAUUCGGUACUUUAUUAUUAAAAAAAUAAAAUAAAUCUUAAUCGUUGAUUAAUAGAGAAUAAAAAUAUAAUUUUAAUAUUUAGCAGGUAAAUGGGUUACAUCAUUCGAGGUUAUUUCAAUAAUUAAACUAUACAACAUUUAAAAAAACUUUUAAUUGAUAUCCUAAAUUUAUACAUUAAUUUGUACUAAUUUAGGAAAUUGAUUGGUUACCCUAAUUUAGGCAUUAAUUUACGAAUUUAGUUUAGAAAUUUACGAAUUUAGUUUAAACAUAAAAAUUAAAAAGAUUAGGGUUACUAUUCAGAAAAAAAAAUGGUUAGAAAUUUGAAUUCGAACCCGAUUAACAAUCACAAAAUCUAUUUCGAACUCGACAUAUUUCAAAAAUCCAUAUAUAAACCUGAAACUAACCAAUUUUUCGAAACCCAAAACCAAAUCCAAACCGAAAGACUGGAACCCGAAAUAAUUAUUUCUUUUUACCAUAUUUCAAAAUAUUUUAUAUUAAAUUAAAAUUUUAAAAUAUAAAUUCGAAUAUAAUAUUAAACUUUAUAUAUGAUUCGGGUUGGAUUCAAGAUGAAUAUAGAAAAAUUUCAUAGUUGAUUUACAAAAUAAUCUCAUGUUCUUGUUGUCAAAUAAUUUGAAAAUUUUCUUAUAUGAAAUGCCAAAUAUGAGAGGAAAGAUAAAGAGAGAAAAAUGAAAUAAAGAGAGAAUAAAAAUUUUAAUAAUAUAAUAAAGAUAAAAUGACUAAAUUGUUCAUGUAUUAAAAGACAAAAAUACCCUUUUUUGAGGUACCUGAUUACCGGUACCUCUCCUAAAAUGACAUGCUAUUGCAGGUCAUAAUUUUAAGAAAAUUAAAUCUGAACCAUUAAAUAGGAGUGAAUGAACGGUAACGAAAAAAAAAAAAAAGUAUAGAAGCAUUACUCUUAAAAAAAUUGUUAAUUUUUUGAGUAUCCUUCCUUCUAACUUUAAUUAUAUAAAUGUUUCUGAAAAAAUUAUCAAUAUCAAAAAUAUUCUUUUAAUCUUAUAAAACUAUUCAUUCUUAUCUACUAACUCUGUUUAAAAUUUACCGUUCGUCUGUUUCACCCGUGGAGGGUUUUAGAGUUCAGAGUUAAGGGUUGUAAAGGUUUAGGGUAAUAUUUUUUUAGGAUUAUAGAGUUUUAGGGUUUCAGGAUUUUAGGGUUUUAAGGGUUUGGGAUUUUACGAUUUCAUAAUUUUUUGAGAUUUUAGGGUUUUAGAGUUUUUUAUAGUUUAGGAUUUAGGAUUAAUUUUAGAGUCUUAUAGGGUUUAGAAGCAUGGGUAUGGAAAUCUAAUAAUUAACGAGUGUGCAUAAAAUAAUUUUAUUAGUCUUUCACGAUGACCAAAAUAUUAGCUAUAAUUAACUAAAAAGGGGCAAAAUUGUUAACUAGACAUAUUAGCUAUAAUUAACUAAAAAGGGGCAAAAUUGUUAACUAGACAUUUUCUAACGUACAUUGAUGAGGAGGGUGUUUGUGACACAACUUAUAAAUUUUGAGAGUAAUGCUAAUACUGACAACUUUGAAGGAAUAUUUGCGAUAAUUUUAAAAUUUUAAAAUUUUGAAAGGCGCUUUUGAAAUGCCCCUUAAAAAUUACAUUCUUUAACACUCAUAUGGUAACUCCUACUUUACAUAAAAAAGUAACUUAAUUUUCACUGUUUUUGUGGGGGAUAAAAGAAGAAAAUAAGUCAAACCUUUUAAUUAGCACGUACCCUUUGGUAAUUCUCUUUCAACAACAGUAACAAUCUUUAAUAAAUUAGUUGUUUUUUGUGGAGAAAAUGUUAUAAAUUACUUGUCUUUAACCUAAACUAAAAAUAUAGAGUUCUUGUUACAUGGAAAAGUAAAAUUAGAUUAUGAGCUUCAAAUGUUGGUAUAUAUUGUAAUAUUUUAUUAUUUGUGGGUAUUCUUGCAAUAAUUACACUUACCUUGCUAUAAAUAUACAUUACUCAUACAUCUAUUUGGGUUUGAGGUCCCAUAUUCUAAUAUCAAAAGCUAAAAUGAGAUUAUGAGCUCCAAGAGUUGAGGUCUAAGUUGUCCUUAACCUAAAGUGUAAGAAUAUAGAGUUCUUGUUACAUGAAGUAAGCUGAGAUUGUGAACUUGAAAAUCUGAAGCUAUAGUUAGACAUUUUUGUUCUCCUACAAAAGAAAAAUGUUUGAGAUACUUUAAUAUUGUAUAUUUUUUAACUAUAUAUACUAUUUAAAUAGUACUUCAUCAAAUAAUACUGUAUCCCACAACAAAAUCAGAUAACCAAAAGAAAUAGAAAAUAUUUGUUAUGAAAUAAGUUUUUUGUUUUCUGAAUAUGAGAGGGGCGUUGUCAUGCCCUUUUGUUAAGUGCUUUUCUGAAUCAUUUUCUAUCGUAUCAACCUUGUGAGUCAUACGAUAUUCAAGCCAUCUCUGAUCUCCUAUUAUGUGAAGUGAUGGGCUUUCACUGUCCGCCGCUACGUUCCAUUAGUUAAAAUACUUGUAUCAAAAUUUAAUUGAUCAAAUUCAUAUUUCUUUUCUCACAUGUUAAUACUAACUCAUUUUCUAGUUUUUCUCUAUUGAAUCAUUUUAGCUGGUGAAAAACUUACAGUAAUCUACAGAACAAUUAUUACAUUAAUUAAUCCCCAGUACUUUUUGUAGUUUUGUUGAAACACAAACCAAAUAUAAAAUUGAUCUAAUAUCUUCGUUAUCAGAAUAAAGUGUGAUUACGUAGGGUUCGACUAAAAAAAAUAAUACACGUAUUCUCAUCUUCUUGAGGAAAGAAACAUGAUUUUUUUUUUUUUGUUUAAUGGAGCCGUGUACUAAUUCACUCUUGAAACAUGCAUAAAAUUACAUUGGUCAAGUAAAAAAAAGAUAUAUAUGGUAUCGACACAUUAACGUUCCUUAGAGGGUAAUUAGCUACAUAUAUAGAUGCAAUGAAAAUUUACGAAAACAAAACCUCUCGGUGAACAUUAACAAAUAUCACAUCAAAUCAAUGUACGUUGUUGUCUAAUGAAAGGCAUUUUCCAUGCAAUGAAGAAACAUUUGGGCCAUGGAUUGAGAGACACAAAUCAAUAGCAGUACCAGCUCUUAUAUAUGAACAGUGCCACUAUAUAUCUUGUGAGCCCUUGAGCCGUGAGAUUCCUAUACAUUAUUAUGUGUGGUCCUUAAUUGCUUUUUCUGGGGACAGCUUGAAUAACAUGUUAGGUAGGUUUACAAGUUGUUCUCAUAGUUACUGUUAACAUGUAUUCCUAGAAUAGUUUUCCAAUUAUAGAUGAAUUUUAGGUACGUAAUAAUAUUAUCAGAGCCAAUUUUAAACGCCUUAAAUACAUUCAUCUUGUGAGGGUGUGGGCCUGAUCCCCACUUUCAACAUUUAUUAAGUUAACUGUUCUGCAUUAUAUUGAAUGAUUCCCAUCUUGUUUCAUGAAUUUGUCUCUUUGAAUUGGACUUAUUUUAGUGGCUUUUUUUAUGUUUAAAAGGAGUUUCUACAUAUGUAUAUAUAUAUAUAUAUAUUAGUGAUGGUUAAUUAAUUUCACACAGCUUCCUGUAAACAUAUAUAUCGAAUAGCAAAAAUAUAUCCCUACAAAGUUUAACUUUUUAUAUUUAUUCCUGCAAAAGCUUAAUGAUAUUCAUAUUUGUCUCUCUGAUUUGUUACAUGUUAGAGCACUAUUUAUUUUUUAACAGGAGAUAAAGAAAAUGAUAUUUUUACCAUCACAAAUAUAUCCCUUCAAAAGCCCCAAUUGUUAGAAUUAUGCAGAAAUGUCCCCCCAAAAAUCUCCAAUGAUCAUCUUUUUUUUUUACCAUCACAAAUAAUAUAAGAGAGAUAAAAUGGUCAAUUUAUCUCAUUCACUAAACAGGAUUAAGUAUUUUAUGUAUGUUUAACUAUAUUUUUCUAACGGAUCCUAACGGUAGGGGUAUAUUUGAAAAUAUUAACACUUUUGCAGAAAUAAAUAUGAAAAGUUUUGAUAUGUUUUCAGGGAAUCGUGUGCAAUAUUAACCCUAUUAGUUAAACACCCAUACGUGCUUUACGGCAGAUUAAUAGCUUUAUGGUAAACAUACAUCGGUAACGAUAAUAAAAACUAUACCUUGCUGAAAUUGAAAUAUCAUACAAAUAGUACUUGAAGCAAAAAUUAGGUUGUAAUACUUCUAAUAGCACCAAGUCAUUAAUGUUAUUAGAUUUUUGGUUUUUGAAUGAAGGGAUGUAUGGUUAGGAUGAUAGUAGUUUCUAGGGUUAACUGAGUGUGGUUAGUUGAAUAGUAUGAUCGCACGGAUGGAAAUGAUCAAAGGGAUAAAUCUAACGGUAAAAAGCUUGAUAGCACCAACUGCUUGGUGCUAUUAGAAGCACCCCAGCCGGAUUCCUUGAAGCAAAUUAACUUCCAUUUUAACGUAAUUAUUUUUAAUAAAUAAAAUUAAUGAUUAAUUGGUAGAUUAUUUAAUCUAAGUAAAAAAAUCUCAACAAAAAGGAAAAAAUAUAGAAGCUAGCUGAAAGUGUCUCAAAUAAAAAAAAUAAAAUUUGAGUAGACUACCGACCGUCCCUAGAGCAAGUGGCAAAGGGCUUGGUGGUUGGUACCCGAAACCUUAGUUCGAAUCCUAAUUGAUUUACAUUUCUAGCUAAAUUUAUUUCUAAAUGAAAUAAACGAAGUGGGUAGCGUGCUACCUAUCUCUCUGAAAAAAAAAAAAGAAAAAAGAAAAGAAGAUUGAGUAGACUAUUAAUUUGAGGAGACAAUUUCAACUAGCGCAUGCCUCCGGUCUAAACAAUUAACUUUUUCCUCU